GCGAGAUUGAGUAACAUGGUUAACUCGCUAGGCUCAUGCCCUAGAGAUUGUAGGUUCAAAUCCUGCUCUCGCU
rnacentral:tRNA from 1 species